UACGUAGGGUGCGAGCGUUGUCCGGAAUUAUUGGGCGUAAAGAGCUCGUAGGCGGUCUGUCGCGUCGGCUGUGAAAACCCGGGGCUCAACCCCGGGCCUGCAGUCGAUACGGGCAGACUAGAGUGCGGUAGGGGAGACUGGAAUUCCUGGUGUAGCGGUGAAAUGCGCAGAUAUCAGGAGGAACACCGGUGGCGAAGGCGGUUCUCUGGGCAUUACCUGACGCUGAGGAGCGAAAGUGUGGGGAGCGAACAGG
rnacentral:rRNA from 1 species